rnacentral:rRNA from 1 species
UAAACACAAGAGUUUGAUCCUGGCUCAGGACGAACGCUGGCGGCGUGCCUAACACAUGCAAGUCGAGCGGAGAUAUAUGGAAGGUUUACCGGAAAUAUAUUCUUAGCGGCGGACGGGUGAGUAACGCGUGAGGAACCUGCCCUUUACAGGGGGAUAACGCACCGAAAGGUGCACUAAUACCGCAUGAGACCACAGCACCGCAUGGUGCAGGGGUCAAAGGAGUAAUCCGGU